rnacentral:rRNA from 1 species
AUACGUAGGGGGCGAGCGUUGUCCGGAAUGAUUGGGCGUAAAGGGCGCGUAGGCGGCCUGUUAAGUCUGGAGUGAAAGUCCUGUUUUCAAGAUGGGAAUUGCUUUGGAUACUGAUGGGCUUGAGUGCAGGAGAGGUUAUCGGAAUUCCCGGUGUAGCGGUGAAAUGCGUAGAGAUCGGGAGGAACACCAGUGGCGAAGGCGGGUAACUGGACUGCAACUGACGCUGAGGCGCGAAAGUGUGGGGAGCAAACAGGAUUAGAUACCCGGGUAGUCCAGACUGUAAACGAUGAAUGCUAGGUGUAAGAGGUAGCGACCCCUUUUGUGCCGGAGUUAACACAAUAAGCAUUCCGCCUGGGGAGUACGGCCGCAAGGUUGAAACUCAAAGGCAUUGACGGGG